rnacentral:rRNA from 1 species
AUUGAACGCUGGCGGCAUGCCUUACACAUGCAAGUCGAACGGUAACAGGUCUUCGGAUGCUGACGAGUGGCGAACGGGUGAGUAAUACAUCGGAACGUGCCUAGUAGUGGGGGAUAACUACUCGAAAGAGUGGCUAAUACCGCAUGAGAUCUACGGAUGAAAGCAGGGGAUCGCAAGACCUUGUGCUACUAGAGCGGCCGAUGGCAGAUUAGGUAGGUGGUGGGAUAAAAGCUUACCAAGCCGACGAUCUGUAGCUGGUCUGAGAGGACGAUCAGCCACACUGGGACUGAGCCACGGCCCAGACUCCUACGGGAGGCAGCAGUGGGGAAUUUUGGACAAUGGGCGAAAGCCUGAUCCAGCAAUGCCGCGUGCAGGAUGAAGGCCUUCGGGUUGUAAACUGCUUUUGUACGGAACGAAAAGCCCUGGGUUAAUACCCUGGGGUCAUGACGGUACCGUAAGAAAAAGCACCGGCUAACUACGUGCCAGCAGCCGCGGUAA